rnacentral:rRNA from 1 species
CCCUUAGAUGUUCUGGGCCGCACGCGCGCUACACUGAUGCAUUCAACGAGUUUCUUCCUGGUCCGAGAGGAAUGGGUAACCUUUUGAAAGUGCAUCGUGAUAGGGAUAGACUAUUGCAAUUAUUGGUCUUCAACGAGGAAUUCCUAGUAGACGUAGUUCAUCAGACUGCAUCGAUUACGUCCCUGCCCUUUGUACACACCGCCCGUCGCUCCUACCGAUUGAAUGCUCAGGUGAGCCAUUCGGACUUUCAUCAUGCUGGUCUCCAGUUUUGAUGAAGGAAAGUCUUGCGAACCUUAUCAUUUAGAGGAAGUAAAAGUCGUAACA